CAGAGGACAAAGGUUAGAUCUUUAGCUCUUGUUACUCCUGUCAGAUGAUAAAUUGUAGGGCAACUGGUUCCCCUUUUGACUAUUAGUUUGUUUUUGCUUCCGAUUAGGGUUGCAUUAGGAGAAGGAUUCGUAUGGUAAGAUUGUGUGUGUCAUUGACAAUAUCGAUCUCUAUGAUCAUGAUGUCUUUAAACCUCAUGCACAAUGGCAUUAGAUAAACCUAUGGUGCUGCAAAAUGUUCGUUCUUUCAGUACACUGCCCAAUUUAUAAGUCUGCAUUUGUUCUGUAUUGCAAAUAAAUACCAUUUCUUUUACUUCUUGAGAUGAGAGAAUUGCGAAUUGGUCAUUGAGACUCACAACACAUGCAUAGUCUCAUCAUUAUUUUGCACCUAAGCUCCUUAAAUUUAGAAUCACUUGACGAUUAUUUUGCUUGCAUGACCAUUGUCACCUCGUUUGCUUGAGAAUUACUUGAGACAUCAGUUAUUGAAUGAAGUGAGUAGUUGGAGACCACCACAACCUUCCACCCUUGUGAGUUCAAAGGAUUUGAAGUGAGGUUAACAAGUUGUCUAUUUCUACUUUUCUGUUCACUGUUUCCCUAAAUUUAUUACCACAUAACUUCCAUUAUUGCCAAAAUUUCUAAACCCCAAACUGCUUAAAGUCUAACAUUGUUAGAAUCAUCCAACAAUGGAGAUGCAUUGAUCAAUUUCAUGCCCAAUUCAAGCUAGUCAAGAAGGGUGAACUAAUGUCUUUUUCCUUCCCCAGAAUCAAUACGCGUUUGAAUAUGCAAUACUCAUUGUUUUAUUGUUUGAGUUGAGUUUUCUUACAAAUUGAAUAUGUUCUUGUUUUUUGAAUCCUCAUCUGUUUUGGCUUUUAUUUUCUUAUUAGUAACUCUCUUCCCUAAGCCUAUCACCCUUUAGGUUGUCCUAUAUUAUUUUGCCUUGGUUUUGAAGCCUAUAAGGUUAAUUUUGAGUUAGUGGGAUUGCGACCUAUCAAUAUUGUCCUUCUUACAUUGAUCAAGAAAUGUAAUCUUCCAAAUAUGCACAUAUAUCAAUCACAUAUUCAUGCAUAAAAAAAUUGUUGUGAAAAAUUCAAAGAAAUUACAAUAUGCAUCAACGAAUAAAAAAAUAGUCUGCUGGCAAUGAGUUAUAUUAUGUAAGAGCUUGAUGCCAAAAGAAUUAUAAAUUGAGCAACAUGCAGGAGUUUGAACAAGUUAUCAUUUGAAAAAGAUGAUAAGUUUUUGUAUGAAACAUAAAGAGAUCUAAAUCAUUUCAAAUUAAGCAUAAGGUCACAAAGUUAUGAUUAAAUUAUGAUACUAUUAGAAUUAAGUCUUUCUAUAUUACAAUCUAGCUCCCAAUCAAGAUUAAAAAAAAUGGUCGGACCUUGGUAUUCAUCGGUCUAACCAGGAACAAGGUAAUGCCAUUCAGUUUGGUUCACAAUUGGCCUUUUAAAACUUUUAAAUUUUUUUGCUGUAACAUCCUAUCAACAAUCAACCCUGCUGUUGAUUUCCAAAACAGCUAUCAACAGGGCUGUUGAUUGUCAACAGCAGUCCUCCUCCUCUCCUCCUUCCUUCUACUCUCUUUCUCUUUGGUCUGUGCCAAUUGGUAUACCGAUGUGCCAGGGUCGGUGUGUCAUACCAGAUCUAUACUAGUCCGAACAAGAACUGGUAUGAGUCUCGGAUUAUUAAAUGGUCCUUAUGAUAUCAUAAUAUAGUCUAUGGGUAUUGCAAAUCAAUCUCUAGGACUCACGAACCAAUCUUUUAAACGAGGUACCUAGUGCAUGAAAUUCUCGCCAAUAUGAAGUAUAGAGAGGAUCAAUGUACAUAAUCUUACAUCUACAAAUAGAUAGAUGGACUAUAUGACUUAGACCUUGUUGCCAAGGUCAUAAAAAGAGCAAGAUUCACCCUCACAAUCGAACUCAAUAAAAAAAUAGUUAGAUUUUGCUUGGAUUCAUUCACAAUAGAUUCAUUUCUUGUCAUCCAAUCUGAUCAACUCAAUUGGGCAAGAUUGAUACCACAGCUUUAUAACACUACUCCUAAUUUCAUCCAUUCCCUACAUGUCUGACAAAGAUAGGAUGCUACAUUUCUUUCCUUCAUUUACUACUAUCGAUAUGAAUGCAGCGGAAGGUAUGCAAUCUUAAAUUUUAAAACAUGUUAAUGUACUAAACAAAACGAUCGGAUUUCCCCUGUACAUAAUGAUUUUGACACAUGUACAAAAUUAUAAUAUUUAAUUAAAAAAUCCAAACAAAAUAUGUCCAACUUAUUCCAUCUAACAUAAUAUAACAUGUUCAAAAAUCUUUUAUACAUGAAAUGCCCAUAGUUUAUCGUCCAUAUCUACGUUGGCAUGGGCUUACAUGUGCUCACUUCUCACUUCCCUACCCAAUCACUUGAGUGGAGUGUUAGUAUCCUUACCUGCAAAAUAGGAUCCAUAAUGAGUCAUCACUCAGUAAGUAUAAGCCUUUUUUCAAGUGAGCAUGUAUCAUGUCAUAUAUAUAACAUUUCAAAAUCAUGGGCAUUAGACAUUAAUGGUAAACAUCCUCAUCUUAUGACUUCUUUAGUAAGUACAAUCCUACAACAUAGUAUAUGCACCAUAAGAACGUAAAAUUCUAUGUCAAAAUAAUUCAAAAUGUUGAUAUAUAACAUAGUAUAUGCACCCAAGUCAAUGACCUCAAUCAUUGACUUGGGUUGAGUUCUAAUGAAUUUUCCGGAUUGGUUCAUCUAUUCAAUGUACAACUUAACCAUCUAGGAUAACAAUUCUAUUUGAUCCAACCACUCACUGGUAAAUACAAUCACUGGUCUUCCUUAUUUUUCUUCCCUUCAUUCUUUCCUGAGACCAAUAUAUGAGCUUUCAUUCUAAAAUCAAUCGGCAAAUGCAAUCACUGACAAUAAUUAUACUGGUACGAAUUUAUUUUAAAAAUUAAUUAAAUAAGAGAAUAAAAGAAGACAAACAGAUCAAGGAAAGAAAAAAACAAAUAUGAGGACAUGGCUCUGAUUGCAGGGAUCACCUCUACCUCAGUCACUCUCCGUUCAAAGAUGACCUGCUUCUCUAGCCACGCUCCCUUCCAUAGACCCCACAGGAAGAGAUAACAAUUGAUUUUUCUUCUUUGAGGCGAUUGCCUUCUUAAUUUUAAUUUCACAUGUUUGCUAUAUUCUUGGGAAAUGGUUGAACAAGCUGUUGACAAGCAUGAUCCAUGGCUUUACUCAUCAAUGUUUCAUCAGUUUGAAUGAGUUGCUUAAGCUGAAAAGUCUUAGUGCUUGUUUGACAGCACCAAUGUUUUUACUUGUUUUUAUUAGUUUAUUGCAACUGUUCAUCAGCUUAACGAAAGAUCGGAAUGGAUGCAGGAUAUUGUAGUUUUGGCAAGGAAACCAAGCACUGAGCUAGUAAGUCAGAUUGUGUUGAUGCAGAACCACCAAUAGUCACUAACUGCAUCUGGAUAUGUUGAAGUCCCUGUUUCCCUGUUCAAUCAUGAUGUGCUUCAUUGCACUUUAUGCAAUUUCUAUUGGUGAUCAUGUCAACUGUUGGACAAUCUCACUAGUGAUGUGAAAGGAAGAAAAAAGAGAAAAAGAGAAAUCCAAGGAUCCACAAGCUCUCUUAUCAACAAUUCUUGUUGUUAUACUUGAGAUGAAUAUAUUCUGUCAAUGUGAAAAGCACCAUAUGCCAAACUCACAAACUUUCUUUCACCUUAUCUGAUCCACUGUUGAAGUAUCUUCCCCUGUUCUGAAGCAUUCACAUAUGUGAUUGGAGACCAUCAAUGAAGCAGAGAAGAAAAGGGAAACAAAAAGUAUCAAUUUACUUUUGCUACUUGUUCAGUAG
rnacentral:lncRNA from 1 species